CCGGGGUGAGGUAGUAGGUUGUAUGGUUUAGAGUCACACCCCCGGAGAUAACUGUACAGCCUCCUAGCUUUCCCCG
rfam:Alligator mississippiensis ScZkoYb_1219, whole genome shotgun sequence.